UGGAGGCAAGAAAACUGAUUUAA
rnacentral:piRNA from 1 species